GAUGAACGCUGGCGGCGUGCCUAAUACAUGCCAGUCGAGCGAACAGACGAGGAGCUUGCUCCUCUGACGUUAGCGGCGGACGGGUGAGUAACACGUGGAUAACCUACCUAUAAGACUGGGAUAACUUCGGGAAACCGGAGCUAAUACCGGAUAAUAUAUUGAACCGCAUGGUUCAAUAGUGAAAGACGGUUUUGCUGUCACUUAUAGAUGGAUCCGCGCCGCAUUAGCUAGUUGGUAAGGUAACGGCUUACCAAGGCAACGAUGCGUAGCCGACCUGAGAGGGUGAUCGGCCACACUGGAACUGAGACACGGUCCAGACUCCUACGGGAGGCAGCAGUAGGGAAUCUUCCGCAAUGGGCGAAAGCUUGACGGAGCAACGCCGCGUGAGUGAUGAAGGUCUUCGGAUCGUAAAACUCUGUUAUUAGGGAAGAACUAAUGUGUAAGUAACUAUGCACGUCUUGACGGUACCUAAUCAGAAAGCCACGGCUAACUACGUG
rnacentral:rRNA from 1 species